rnacentral:rRNA from 1 species
UACAGAGGGGGCAAGCGUUGUUCGGAAUCACUGGGCUUAAAGGGCGCGUAGGCGGACUGCCAAGUCCGGGGUGAAAUCUUUCGGCUCAACCGGAAAAUAGCCUCGGAGACUGGCGGUCUGGAGUGAGGUAGGGGCAGCUGGAACUUCCGGUGGAGCGGUGAAAUGCAUUGAGAUCGGAAAGAACACCAACGGCGAAAGCACUCUGCUGGGCCGACACUGACACUGAGAGACGAAAGCUAGGGGAGCAAAUGGG